CUGCACAUCGCCCUGGAGCCGGCUGGGGAGCCCACUCCCACGGCGCCCAGCACACCGUGUCCAGGAUGACAGCCACUGGCGUUCCUGAGCACCCAGCACCAGCGACAAGCACUGGGGACAUGAGCUCAGGUCACCGACCUUCCCGGAGUU